rnacentral:rRNA from 1 species
GAUGAACGCUAGCGGCAGGCUUAACACAUGCAAGUCGAGGGGUAGAAGGAGCUUGCUCCUUUGAGACCGGCGCACGGGUGCGUAACGCGUAUGCAAUCUACCUUUUGCAGAGGGAUAGCCCAGAGAAAUUUGGAUUAAUACCUCAUAGUAUGUGAGGAUGGCAUCAUUUUCACAUUAAAGUUCCAACGGUAAAAGAUGAGUAUGCGUCCCAUUAGCUAGAUGGUAAGGUAACGGCUUACCAUGGCAAUGAUGGGUAGGGGUCCUGAGAGGGAGAUCCCCCCACACUGGUACUGAGACACGG